rnacentral:tRNA from 1 species
UAGCUCAGUUGGUAGAGUAUGGCGCUUGCAAUGCCAGGACAGUGGGUAUGAUUCCCGC